rnacentral:rRNA from 1 species
UACAGAGGUCUCAAGCGUUGUUCGGAUUCAUUGGGCGUAAAGGGUGCGUAGGUGGCGCUGUAAGUCAGGUGUGAAAUUUCGGAGCUUAACUCCGAAACUGCAUUUGAUACUGCGGUGCUUGAGGACUGGAGAGGAGACUGGAAUUCACGGUGUAGCAGUGAAAUGCGUAGAUAUCGUGAGGAAGACCAGUGGCGAAGGCGGCUUCCUGGACCGGUUCUGACACUGAGGAGCGAAAGCGUGGGGAGCGAUCCGG